UACGUAGGGUGCAAGCGUUGUCCGGAAUUAUUGGGCGUAAAGAGCUCGUAGGCGGUUUGUCGCGUCUGCUGUGAAAACUCGGGGCUUAACUCCGGAUCUGCGGUGGGUACGGGCAGACUAGAGUGAUGUAGGGGAGACUGGAAUUCCUGGUGUAGCGGUGAAAUGCGCAGAUAUCAGGAGGAAUACCAGCGGCGAAGGCGGCGCUCUGGGCCGGUACUGACGCUGAGGAGCGAAAGCGUGGGGAGCAAACAGG
rnacentral:rRNA from 1 species